rnacentral:rRNA from 1 species
UACGUAGGAUGCAAGCGUUGUCCGGAAUUAUUGGGCGUAAAGAGCGCGCAGGCGGUAUGACAAGUCAGAUGUGAAAGAGGCCGGCUUAACCGGCAAGGGUCAUUUGAAACUGUCAGACUAGAGUGCAGCAGAGGAUAGUGGAAUUCCCGGUGUAGUGGUGAAAUGCGUAGAGAUUGGAAAGAACACCAAUGGCGAAAGCACUUUACUGGGCUAUCACUGACACUGAGAGACGAAAGCUAGGGUAGCAAAUGGG